rnacentral:rRNA from 1 species
CGAACGCUUGCGGCGUGCCUAACACAUGCAAGUCGAACGAGAAAAUCUUGCUUGCAAGAUGAGUAAAGUGGCGCACGGGUGAGUAACGCGUGGGUAAUCUACCUUUGGGACAGGGAUAACACUCCGAAAGGGGUGCUAAUACCUGAUACGAUGCGAGUUUCAUAUGGAGUUCGCAUGAAAGGUGACCUCUUCCUUGAAAGUUGCCGCUCGAAGAUGAGCCCGCGUCCCAUUAGCUUGUUGGUGGGGUAAUGGCCUACCAAGGCUCAGAUGGGUAGCUGGUCUGAGAGGAUGAUCAGCCACACUGGAACUGAGACACGGUCCAGACUCCUACGGGAGGCAGCAGUGGGGAAUAUUGCGCAAUGGGGGAAACCCUGACGCAGCAACGCCGCGUGAGUGAUGAAGGCCUUCGGGUCGUAAAGCUCUGUCAGGUGGGAAGAACAUGAGAAGUUCCAAUACAACUUCUUCUUGACGGUACCACCAGAGGAAGCACCGGCUAACUCC